rnacentral:rRNA from 1 species
UACGAAGGGGGCUAGCGUUGCUCGGAAUCACUGGGCGUAAAGCGCACGUUAGGCGGAUCUUUAAGUCAGGGGUGAAAUCCCAAGGCUCAACCUUGGAACUGCCUUUGAUACUGGGGAUCUCGAGUCCGGAAGAGGUGAGUGGAACUGCGAGUGUAGAGGUGAAAUUCGUAGAUAUUCGCAAGAACACCAGUGGCGAAGGCGGCUCACUGGUCCGGUACUGACGCUGAGGUGCGAAAGCGUGGGGAGCAAACAGGG